GACGAACGCUGGCGGCGUGCUUAACACAUGCAAGUCGAACGGAAAGGCCUGCUUUCCCUUGUGGAUUGCGGGUACUCGAGUGGCGAACGGGUGAGUAACACGUGAGUGAUCUGCCCCCAACUUGGGUAUAAGCCUGGGAAACUGGGUCUAAUUCCCGAUAGGACUGCAGGGUGGUGCCUGUGGUGGAAAACGAUUUUCUAGUGGUUGGGGAUGAGCUCGCGGCCUAUCAGCUUGUUGGUGGGGUAAUGGCCUACCAAGGCGGCGACGGGUAGCCGGCCUGAGAGGGUGGACGGCCACAUUGGGACUGAGAUACGGCCCAGACUCCUACGGGCGGCAGCCGUGGGGAGUAUUGCACAAUGGGCGGAAGCCUGAUGCAGCGACGCCGCGUGGGGGAUGCCGGCCUUCGGGUUGUAAACUCCUUUCGACCGCGAGGAAGCCACCUGGUUGGAAGGGUGGUGACGGUAGUGGUAGAAGAAGCACCGGCUAACUACGUG
rnacentral:rRNA from 1 species